UACGGAGGGAGCUAGCGUUGUUCGGAAUUACUGGGCGUAAAGCGCACGUAGGCGGCUACUCAAGUCAGAGGUGAAAGCCCGGGGCUCAACCCCGGAACUGCCUUUGAAACUAGGUAGCUAGAAUCUUGGAGAGGUCAGUGGAAUUCCGAGUGUAGAGGUGAAAUUCGUAGAUAUUCGGAAGAACACCAGUGGCGAAGGCGACUGACUGGACAAGUAUUGACGCUGAGGUGCGAAAGCGUGGGGGGAGCAAACAGG
rnacentral:rRNA from 1 species